GCACAAGCAGCGAGCGUGUGGUUUAAUUCGAUGCAACGCGAAGAACCUUACCAGGGUUUGACAUGCUUAAAGUAGAAACUCGAAAGAGGGACGACCUGUAUCCAGUCAGGAAUUUGCACAGGUGCUGCAUGGCUGUCGUCAGCUCGUGCCGUGAGGUGUUAGGUUAAGUCCUGCAACGAGCGCAACCCUCGUCGCUAGUUAUUUUCUCUAGCGAUACUGCCCGUAUAACGUGGAGGAAGGUGGGGAUGACGUCAAGUCAGCAUGGCCCUUACAUCCUGGGCUACACACACGCUACAAUGGGUGAUACAAAAGGUUGCGAUAGAGCGAUCUGGAGCCAAUCCCCAAAAUCAUCCUCAGUACGGAUUGCAGGCUGCAACUGCCUGCAUGAAGUUGGAGCUGCUAGUAAACGCAGGUCAGCACACUGCGUUGAAUACGUUCUCGGGCCUU
rnacentral:rRNA from 1 species